rnacentral:rRNA from 1 species
CCUACACACGCAAGUCGAACGGCAGCAUAAGAGAGCUUGCUCUCUUGAUGGCGAGUGGCGGACGGGUGAGUAAUGUAUAGGGAUCUGCCCAGUAGUGGGGGACAACAGCCGGAAACGGCUGCUAAUACCGCAUACGCUCUACGGAGGAAAGCGGGGGACCUUUCGGGGCCUCGCGCUAUUGGAUGAACCUAUAUCAGAUUAGCUAGUUGGUGGGGUAAUGGCCUACCAAGGCAACGAUCUGUAGCUGGUCUGAGAGGAUGAUCAGCCACACUGGGACUGAGACACGGCCCAGACUCCUACGGGAGGCAGCAGUGGGGAAUAUUGGACAAUGGGGGAAACCCUGAUCCAGCAAUGCCGCGUGUGUGAAGAAGGCCUGCGGGUUGUAAAGCACUUUCAGUAGGGAAGAUAAUGACGGUACCUACAAAAGAAGCACCGGCUAACUCCGUGCCAGCAGCCGCGGUAAUACGGAGGGUGCGAGCGUUAAUCGGAAUUACUGGGCGUAAAGCGCACGUAGGUGGUUUGGUAAGUCGGAUGUGAAAUCCCAGGGCUCAACCUUGGAAUUGCAUUCGAUACUGCCUCACUAGAGUCUAGCAGAGGGAUGGGGAAUUCCGGGUGUAGCGGUGAAAUGCGUAGAUAUUAGGAGGAACAUCAGUGGCGAAGGCGCCUUCCUGGACUAAAACUGACGCUGAGGUGCGAAAGCGUGGGUAGCGAACGGGAUUAGAUACCCCGGUAGUCCACGCCGUAAACGAUGUCAACUAGUUGUUGGCCUUAUUAAAAGGGUUAGUAACGCAGCUAACGCGAUAAGUUGACCGCCUGGGGAGUACGGUCGCAAGAUUAAAACUCAAAGGAAUUGACGGGGGCCCGC